rnacentral:piRNA from 1 species
GAGAAGCUCUGUGAAGAAAUGGUCC